CUAGUUGUUUCCGUAUCAAAGACUUUCACUACUGCUGAAACCACGUUGAAUGCUCGGACACUGAGAGAAUGGAUUUCCUCUGCAAUUGGGCCUGCUGCUGUUGCAAAACAUAUGGUGGCAGUUAGCACUAAUCUCACGAUGAUAUCAUCUCUUGCAAAACAUAUGGUGGCAGUUAAUCUAUUUCUUGUUUAUUCAUUGCCUUGCCUUAAUUUACGGAUAAUAAUCAUUAUUUUGAUUUUGUUGCUGUUUUGUUUGACUGGGAUUGGAUGUAACUUGGUUAUUGCACUCCUUAAUCCCGAAUCUCUGAAACUGAGUCUAUGCUUGUUAAUUCAAAACGUUUUUUAAAUGAAGAAUGUAUUUAGUCAGAAGGAGAUAUUUUGAUUUUUGAGGUUUAAGUUAGUCUUGUGUUUGAGAGGAAUACCUGAAAAGGAACUAUGUAAAGUGUGUGCAACAAGAAGAAUUAUAGUCUCUUCCACGCAUAUUGAAUCUCAAGACUUAAUUUAUCACUUCAUCCCUCUGCAAGAUCAUGACUUGAAUUUGUGUCGGAAUGCGAACUACUCAUGUUUGAUUGUUAGCUUGUGUUUCUAGGAGGGAUCCUGUGGCUGUUUGGGUUAUACCAGGUUUAGAGGAAUUCCAAUUGAUUUCACUAAGUAAAUACAUAGAAAGUGACUAGAUCAUGCAUGAUUAUCCCAAGGAGAAUUUGAUAGAGGGUUCUGGGUGUGAGUGUAGGUGUGGGUGUGGCAUUAUGGAGAGGCCCCAAACUUAUGGAUCCCUGCAGAUUUCAGAAAACUUACUUAAGGCUAUUACAACAAGAUCCUAAGCUUGUUGCAUGCAUCUAUCAUUUACUUUUUCAUUGAACUCUGUUAGAUGGUUGAUUCCCUUAACUUGAAUAUCUGGAUAGUCGUUUUCGAAAAAGCCAUUCUGUACACAGUCACAUAAACAACCAUUCUGUAACGUGGAACAUAAUUUUUGUUUAAUUGGUUCUCUAUUAGAUUUAAGAACAUGAUAUUUGAUGCAAGAAUCUGUGGAAUUUUGUUACGGUUUAUGCCGCUGGAUUGAAAUUUGCGAUGCUGAGAUUGUGCAUGAAUUCAAAUUUGUUUUCGCGAUCUGCUAUGUUUGAAAGUCGUGUUUUUUUUUCGUAUGUAUAAGUUGUUAAAUUGUUGUUGAGCAAUUAAUUUCACGCCGAAGGUUGUUGGAAGUGAAUAGUGAGAUAUGCAAAUUUUAGGUUAGUGCUAGUAUUGAAGAAUAGCGCUUGAUUUUGAAACUUUUAGGAACUAAAUCUUAAGCCUUUUGUUAAAGUAGGGUUAGAGUCGAGUGUGUAUUGAACCUCGUUUUCCAAUUUAUCUAACAAACUAACAUGAAGCCGUUUCGUUUUCAAUUGAUGCCUUGUGGAAUGUGUAGGAACUUGUAAAAGUUCUUUCUGAAUUAAUUGAAAAACAUUUAACCAAAAAAGGUAUUGGAUGCUCAGGUAACCUAGAAGCCUUGUUGAAAACAGGCUGUUUACUAGUUCCCUCUUGGCAUAGUAUAUCUGUACUAGGUUGAGAUUGUGGUUGUUAUGGUCACCAUCGGCAAUCGUGCUUUCCUUCUAAUGGAGAUUUUAACGGAUGGAAGAUCCCAUUUUUCUGUGUUUAUGUUUGGUUUGUAUGUGUCUAAAAAUUGUGAAAGUUGAUAGUAUGUUACAAAAAUGUUUGAGAAAUUUGAAGUCUUUAUUGGUAUUUUCUUGAAAUUAAUUUGAUGAUUUAUGCAGGGAUUGGGACCUUACUCUGCUAGCAUGAAGAAGGUGGAGAAGGAGAUCAAGGAUAUGUCAAAGAAAGUUAAUGACUUCAUUGGACAAUUUGGAAAUUCAUUAUGCUGGUUUUAAGACACCACACAUCCACAACUUGUCUGAUCUCGUCCAAGUUACUCUUGCACAUCAGGAUCAAGAUGAUGGAUUGGAUCGGAUCGGAUAGCAAAUGAAGAUUUAGUUGACAUUGAGAAUCAUGCAGAAGUAAGGGAAACCAGUUGAAGAUGAAAAGAUAGAAGACAUUUAGUUUUGAUUAUACAUUUUAGUUUUGGAUAUGAUCAUUUGAUUUUAUUUUAAACAUAAUAAUGUAAUUUUCAUAAAUCGUACAUCAAAUACUAUUAUUUUAAUUUGUUAAUUUGUUAGGGAGCGGGUGUGCUCCCUUCCUUUAGUUGUCUCCUUGUUUGGAACUUAUUUUGUGUAUGUACUAUCUUUUGGUAAUAAAAUCGGUAUUUUGCCAAAAAA